GCGUCGAGCGGCGGACGGGUGAGUAAUGCCUAGGAAAUUGCCCUGAUGUGGGGGAUAACCAUUGGAAACGAUGGCUAAUACCGCAUAAUGCCUACGGGCCAAAGAGGGGGACCUUCGGGCCUCUCGCGUCAGGAUAUGCCUAGGUGGGAUUAGCUAGUUGGUGAGGUAAUGGCUCACCAAGGCGACGAUCCCUAGCUGGUCUGAGAGGAUGAUCAGCCACACUGGAACUGAGACACGGUCCAGACUCCUACGGGAGGCAGCAGUGGGGAAUAUUGCACAAUGGGCGCAAGCCUGAUGCAGCCAUGCCGCGUGUGUGAAGAAGGCCUUCGGGUUGUAAAGCACUUUCAGUCGUGAGGAAGGUGGUGUUGUUAAUAGCACUAUCAUUUGACGUUAGCGACAGAAGAAGCACCGGCUAACUCCGUGCCAGCAGCCGCGGUAAUACGGAGGGUGCGAGCGUUAAUCGGAAUUACUGGGCGUAAAGCGCAUGCAGGUGGUUUGUUAAGUCAGAUGUGAAAGCCCGGGGCUCAACCUCGGAAUAGCAUUUGAAACUGGCAGACUAGAGUACUGUAGAGGGGGGUAGAAUUUCAGGUGUAGCGGUGAAAUGCGUAGAGAUCUGAAGGAAUACCGGUGGCGAAGGCGGCCCCCUGGACAGAUACUGACACUCAGAUGCGAAAGCGUGGGGAGCAAACAGGAUUAGAUACCCUGGUAGUCCACGCCGUAAACGAUGUCUACUUGGAGGUUGUGGCCUUGAGCCGUGGCUUUCGGAGCUAACGCGUUAAGUAGACCGCCUGGGGAGUACGGUCGCAAGAUUAAAACUCAAAUGAAUUGACGGGGGCCCGCACAAGCGGUGGAGCAUGUGGUUUAAUUCGAUGCAACGCGAAGAACCUUACCUACUCUUGACAUCCAGAGAACUUUCCAGAGAUGGAUUGGUGCCUUCGGGAACUCUGAGACAGGUGCUGCAUGGCUGUCGUCAGCUCGUGUUGUGAAAUGUUGGGUUAAGUCCCGCAACGAGCGCAACCCUUAUCCUUGUUUGCCAGCGAGUAAUGUCGGGAACUCCAGGGAGACUGCCGGUGAUAAACCGGAGGAAGGUGGGGACGACGUCAAGUCAUCAUGGCCCUUACGAGUAGGGCUACACACGUGCUACAAUGGCGCAUACAGAGGGCAGCAAGCUAGCGAUAGUGAGCGAAUCCCAAAAAGUGCGUCGUAGUCCGGAUUGGAGUCUGCAACUCGACUCCAUGAAGUCGGAAUCGCUAGUAAUCGUGGAUCAGAAUGCCACGGUGAAUACGUUCCCGGGCCUU
rnacentral:rRNA from 1 species